rnacentral:tRNA from 29 species
GCCGUUUUAGCUCAGUUGGCAGAGCAACUGACUUGUAAUCAGUAGGUCGUAGGUUCAAGUCCUAUAAACGGCACCA